AUACGGAGGAUGCAAGCGUUAUCCGGAUUUAUUGGGUUUAAAGGGUGCGUAGGCGGUUUGCUAAGCGGGAGGUGAAAUGCCGGCGCUCAACGUCGGAAGUGCCUCCCGAACUGGUGGACUGGAAUGACUCUGCCGUGGGAGGAAUGUGUAGUGUAGCGGUGAAAUGCUUAGAGAUUACACAGAACACCGAUUGCGAAGGCAUCUCACGAAGGGUUGAUUGACGCUGAGGCACGAAAGCGUGGGGAUCAAACAGGAUUAGAUACCCUGGUAGUCCACGCAGUAAACGAUGAUGGCUAACCGCUGGUUUUUUCGGAUCAGUGGCCAAGCGAAAGCGAUAAGCCGUCCACCUGGGGAGUACGACCGCAAGGUUGAAACUCAAAUGAAUUGACGGGG
rnacentral:rRNA from 1 species